UUGUCUGAUUAUAUUUAUAGUUCGCUUUUUUUUCACAGCUAUUUAAAGAAGAUAUGUGGUCACUUCAGCCAAGAGCUCAGAAGGUCUCAAGAGAUUCUGGAGCAUGGGUUCUUUCAUUUAAGCUGUUUCGUAUCCAUAUUUUAGAGGAGUACUUGGGACUGGAAGGAUCAGCUAAGAAAACCAAGAAGGAUCUGCAAGAGCAAUAGGAAGAAGCCAAAGAGAAGCUUCUUAUGAAGCACAGCUUGUGGGGAGGGGAGGGAGGAGGUAGAAACACGAGUCCGGGCCUCCCAUUCAUGAAGGACUGUGAGAGAAGAGCAGAGGAAGGAGGAAACAGAGACAGCAGCCGGGUGAAUAUUAUCCUAAGUAGGGUUAAGAAGACUGAAAACUGACAAGACAGACAGGGGAGUAGGGACGGCAAGACAGCAGCUCACCAGGUCAAAGCGCUUGCCCCGCAGCCUAAUGACCCAGAGCACAAACCGUAGCGGUAGAGAACCAACGCUCACAGCUGUCCCCUGAGCUCCGCGCAGGCGCCGUACACGCUCCACGGCACGUACACACCGACACACAGACUACAACACCAUGUGAAAAAAUAGAAGAAAGGAGAGUAACUGAUAAGACGCUGUGAGCCGCUGGAGGAGGAAUGUAGACAAGAUCAGCCUUUUCUCUGAGCUCCGAAGGGUGGAAGUGAGCAAGUGAGAAGUAUGUGGGUUCAAACCCGAGAAACAGGGUCAUCUGAACAGAGUAUGACUGUAUCCAGGAUGACACAUAGCAUGCCCGGCACUUCUCAGUUUAAGGCAGUACCUAGAAAACUGUGAGAGACGGGGACCUUGAUUAACUCAUACCCCCCUCACUAGCCCUUUAGUUACUGUGAUGGCAAAGUUCCACUGUCACCCCCACUGGAAAUAAGAUCUUCUAGGGGACACACUUCUGGAUGCAAAUGGAGAGUAUUCAAAAGAGAAUUCAUAGAAGAUAGAAAACUUCCCUGGACACACUGGGCACUUCCCCAUGUGUUGAUGGCUCAGACUGAAUAGAAAAGAAAUAGAAGAAAACUUGCUUCCUUUCUUCCUGUUGUUUCAAACACUAACACCAUUGUGUUCUUUGUUCACAACAUCAGGGAGGCUGAUUGGGAGGUGUUAAAGCAGCAGCAAGACUCUGAGGUCUUCUUCGGUGUAUUGAUGUAACAAGAAGGCUCUCACCAAGUGACCUUGGACUCCGCAGUCUCCAGGCUAUGAGGAGUUGGGUCUUCUUUUAUAAUGUAAGGAAAAUAGCAUCUCAGUUCUACAAUCACAGCUAUGAAAAGACAGCAUUAAGUUGGGAGCCAGCCUACAGGUAGGGCAUCAGGAAUACAAAUCCCAGCUAUGACACUCUGUGACUGCAUAUUAUUGAGCAAAUGAUUUAUCUACACUUCAAUUUCUUAUUCUAAAGAGGAUGAGUUACCUGUCUCAAGUGGAUGGACCAUGAGCAGCUUAGGUCAUCACUUCAUAGUUUGAGACAGAUAAUGUUCAGUAUUCAAUUUGUACAACAUUUACACAGAGCCUUUAUUUGGAGAGCCUACAAGCACUUGCCUGUCACCAAGUAUAUUUGCCAUGUGUCCACAGGGUGAGAGCUAUGAAGCUAUUCUUUCAAGUCCAAGCUAUUCACCAAACAGAAAUUACAGCCAUCACGUUUAAAGGCAUGUCUGAGCCUCUGUGUUCUGCAGGAUUCAGCUCUCGAGACUCUCAAACACAGUGGACACCGUGGCUGUUUAUUAAGAAGGAUGCUUUGGACGAGCAUUUGUAGAGAAGAGAAAGGCAGAGCAAGCUGGGCUGCCAUACAGGCUCAACAACAGCCUCUGCCAGCACCGCAGAGAACUCUGGAGAUGAGCCAGGGAACAACUUUGCAUCCCUGCAGUGAUCAGUCACUGAUGUGUGUCAUCCUGUGAAGGAGUGUGACAUUAGAUGAAGUGCUUAUGAGGCAAGUCCAGAAGAGACCUGAUGGCAGAGGAGACCCGACAGCUGUAGGCUGCUUGUUAACAGUCCACACAGCAAAUGGGAGCGAGUCCUUCUCUGAAGGGAGACCAGGGCCACACAUGGCUAUGCUUCUGCACACACCACAUCCUCUCCUUUGGAAAGGCGCCCCAAUUAUCUGCACAAGAAUGACUCCGAGAGCCACGCACUAAAGAAGGCUUCCAACCUUGUUCCUCUGCUAGCAUCGGUUCUUUGGCUAUGAACUAGUGGCGUACAUAACAUAAUCCCGCAAAGUCCCAUGAUCUGCUGCUACCUGGAGGCCAGAGACCCAAGUGCACUGAUUGUGUCAGACCCAGCCCAGGUCUAAAGAUGGAUGCCUCACUUCAGUAGUCAGGUAUAUGGAGGUGCCCAUGGAGGCAAGAAAAGUGUUAGAUGCGCCCCCACCCAAGAUGCAGUUACAAGAAGCUGUGAGCUGCUUGAGGUGGGCUUUGGGAACAGAACUUUGGUCCCGUGGAAGAGCUGCCAAGUGCUUCACUCCUGAGCCACCUCUCCAGCCCUGGAGGCGAGACUUAAGGAAAUGAUUUAAGUGAGGACCUCAGGGUGGCCCCUACUCUCCAAUUCACAUCCUUGCCAAGAGGAAGUCUGGACUCCAGAUCCUGCACACAGGAACAAAGCCUCAGGAGAAGCCAAACUUACCAACACUUUGACCUUGAACUUUUAGCCCCCACAACCAACAAGUUUCACGCCUCACAGAGAAAAUAAGAUUUCAACAAAGACCCGAAGAAGAAAAAAAGUCAGCCAGAGGAUAUUUGGGGGAGGAGCAUUCAGGAGAGGGAGGGAGACACAAUUCCGGGAGCCCUGAGCUGGAGGGAUGCCAGUGUGGUCUGAGACUUAAGCAUUAAAAGAUGAGCGAAGAAAGGGCAUGAAGAGGAGGCAAAGGCAGCCUGUGUGAGCGAGGUUCUCAAGCUAUGCUGGGCACUGAGGAAAUGUUCUGAAGACCUGAGAAGACAUUUUGUCCAGAUUGGUGUGACAGCGUGAGCCUACGCUCAAGUACAGUCAACACACAACACAAUUCUAAUUCUACAAGCGACUGCUAUUUCAGAAUAAAAGACGAGACGGUGUGGCUACUGUUCCGAGGGGUUCCUGGUGGUCUUGACUGGCAGGAACUUACCAAGCAACCGGCCCUGGGAGGAGGAGCAACCAGGUGC